CUGCCCUCCAGCGCGGCUGGGUGUUGGGUGUUGUCCCCCCGGGGACAUGCCCCAAAGGCAGUGGCGGCGCCGCGUCGGGUCCUCGAGCGUAUGGGGCUCUGUCACUUGCUCGGGACGGACCUGCGGGCGUCGGUCUUCCCCAUGCAGUCUCCCGGAAGGGAGGGUGUCUUCUAC
rnacentral:misc_RNA from 1 species